rnacentral:lncRNA from 1 species
CUGGGGGUUCUCCUUGGACGCCUGGAGGACAGCCACUCGCAGCCACCUGCGCCGUCAUGGGGUGCACUCCGGGUGUAUCUCCGCCUGGCCAGGGCCCCUUCCUCCCACGCCCCCCUGCUCCCAGGCCCAGCGACCGCUGAUCUUCGGUCUAUCCUUUUGCUUUUCCAGGGAGCCUUACGGUGGGGCACCAGGCAGCUGGGCUCGGAGCGCGUGGCCGUGGGGCCUGCCGCCACUCUGCUAGGGCUCCACGUGGGUCCCACAGAUGUUGCCCAGCAGCCUUGCAGCCUCCGCGUGGCACCUGUCGGACUCGGGCUCCCGUGGGCUGCCCUGCCAGACUCUCUGUUCACUCCAUCGCUGACAGUGAGUUAAAAAUACUUGGCUGGUGAGAAAGGUGAGAAAUGGAUGACUCAGUCCCUCCAAAUAAAGAAUCUGCCGCUGGAACGGAAGGCUGGUCAGAGCCAGCGCGCUGAGGAGUCGUUUUUAGGCCCUGUCCUGCGAGGCGACAUUCAAGACACAAUAAGCCGGACACUCGGCCAUGCCGGAAACGUUCAAGAACCGACGAACACCUGCCACCCAGAGAAGUGAAGCGCCCCGUGGAAUUCCUCUUACCUUUAGACGAGGUUAACGUGUUCUGUGGAAAAAGGAAAUACAAAAGAAAACAUGAGCCUUCACAUUGCAUGGAACGUUAGUUCCACAAAUGAGAAAACUGCAGUUCUGAUUGCGACUGACGUGAAGAUCCACGCCGAGGUCAUCCCCAGUCUUCAUUCAGAAGUCACCCUCCUGUCAUUUUACCCCAUGAAAGAUUUCAUGUCAACGGGUCCCCCCCACACACCCCCGGUGUGGCCAUGCCGGAGCAGCUCCUUUUCCUCCUUCCUAUCCCUGAGACGAAUUUUGGCUCCAGGAUGUGACAAAAUGAACGCGUGGGGAUGAAUCUUCUGUUCUUUCCUAAGUGGUAGCGAUGUAUCGUCCGUGUGCAAAAGAGCUCUUUGGGGGAUCAUACACUGGACCAUAUACCCCUGCACGCAUUUAGAGAGAGAAUGAAAAACAAAAUAAUACAAAAACAAAAAACAAAAAACAACCCUUGCAUGUCAUUGAGCCUCAGCUCACUGGCCUUUGGGCUCUAAAUGUCCACUUGCUCCUUGAAGGCACAGCUUUGGGUAGAACCUUGGGUUAAAAACAGCCGUGGGGUACUUUAAGGGAGCAGUUGGCUGGGAGAUUGGCCUGGUCUGGAGAAGGGGCGUGGACAGCCGCGGGUCCUCCUGCAGUCUGGGGGGUUCUUUCGCUCCGUCCCUGUCACCCAGGCUCCCCCCAGGGGCCAAGCAUCACAAGGAAGGACACCAAUUGUUGCGGCGCUGCCAAGUCCUCCUCUCUGUGACCGGCUCGAAGGGGUCGCAGGGCCCGGGCUGUGGCUUGGGCAGACCUCGUUCCCGUGCUCCACCCCCAAGAGCUUGCCAGGCGGCCCACGGGGUGAGGGCUCCUGAGAGGUCCGG